rnacentral:rRNA from 1 species
GACGAACGCUGCGGCGUUCCUAAUUCAUGGAAGUUGAGGGGUUGAGGGUUGUUAUUGUUACCACUGGGAUAGCAGGGGACGGGGGAGUUACGCGUGGGGAAACUGCCCUUGGGGGGGGGGCCACCUUUUGGAACGGAUUGUAAUACCGGCAUAAAACCUUAAACACCAGGUUUUAGGUUUAAAGGAGCAAUUGGAAUCCCUAAAGGUGAUUCCCGCGUUGUAUUAGCUAGUUGGUGAGUAAAAGGCCAACCAAGGGAAUGUUACAUAGCCGACCUGAGAGGGUGAUCGGCCACAUUGGGACUGAGACACGGCCCAAACUCCUACGGGAGGCAGCAGUAGGGAAUCUUCGGAAAUGGACGAAAGUCUGACCGAGCAACGCCGCGUGAGUGAAGAAGGUUUUCGGAUCGUAAAACUCUGUUGGUAGAGAAGAACGUUGGUGAGAGUGGAAAGCUCAUCAAGUGACGGUAACUACCCAGAAAGGGACGGCUAACUACGUG